ensembl:Y_RNA Y_RNA Y RNA
GGCUGGUCUGAGUGCAGCGGUGUUUACAACUAAUUUAUCACAACCAGUUACAGAUUUAUUUGUUCCUUCUCCAUUCCCACUUGACUGGCACUAUU